CCUACGGGCGGCUGCAGUGGGGAAUAUUGGACAAUGGGGGCAACCCUGAUCCAGCCAUGCCGCGUGUGUGAAGAAGGCCCUCGGGUUGUAAAGCACUUUCAGUGAGGAAGAACGCCUGGUGGUUAAUACCCAUCAGGAAAGACAUCACUCACAGAAGAAGCACCGGCUAACUCCGUGCCAGCAGCCGCGGUAAUACGGAGGGUGCGAGCGUUAAUCUGAAUUACUGGGCGUAAAGCGCGCGUAGGUGGCUUGAUAAGCCGGUUGUGAAAGCCCCGGGCUCAACCUGGGAACGGCAUCCGGAACUGUCAAGCUAGAGUGCAGGAGAGGAAGGUAGAAUUCCCGGUGUAGCGGUGAAAUGCGUAGAGAUCGGGAGGAAUACCAGUGGCGAAGGCGGCCUUCUGGACUGACACUGACACUGAGGUGCGAAAGCGUGGGUAGCAAACAGGAUUAGAUACCCGAGUAGUC
rnacentral:rRNA from 1 species